AGCGGCAACCUGCUGGGGUCCUCUUCCACGAUGGAGUUUUGUUCUUUUGCUCAUUGCACUAAAUCCUGUUGCUGAUCCCUGUUUGGGGCCGCACUGCCUUUAUGAAAUGUAACACUCACGGAGAAGGUCUGCAGCUUCACUCCUGGGGUUGGCCAGACCACAAACCCACCAGGAGGAAUGAACAACUCCAGACAGGAGGAACGAACUACUCCAGAUGCACCACCUUAAGAGCCUUGACACUCACUGUGUAGGUCUGCAGCUUCACUCCUGAAACCAGCCAGACCACGAACCCACCAGAAGGAAGAAAUUCCAGACACAUCAUAACAUCAGAAAGAACAAAUUCUGGACACGCCAUCUUUAAAAACUGUCACACUGCGAGGGUCUGCAGCUUCAUUCUUGAAGGCAGUGAGACCAAGAAUCCACCAAUUCUGGGCACAUUAGGGGAAUGUCUCUGCCUCUAGGCCAUUCAACAGACCAUGGGGUGGGGAAGAUGCAGGCUUGUCCUCUACCCUGUGACUGUCUGGGCCACCUAAGAGAGGUAGCCUGGAGGAGUGGCCAGGAGCAGAAACUUUGGCAUCACACUGCCUGAGAUGAUACCUGCUAUUAUUUACCAGUUUUGGGGCCUUGGAUAAGAUUCCUGACUUGUUUCAUCCUACUGGUUCUUUUCAAAUUAUACCUGUGAUAAUUCAGCUGUUAAAAGAGGAGUUUUGAAGUCCUGUUAAUACGUGACUCGAGGAAAAUCCAAGUAGAGAGUUUACUCUGGCUGAUGACCAAACAGAAAGCCAGAGAUUGGAAGCACAAGAAGGAUUUGACACAUCAUUGAUGGCUUGAAGAUCUAGGGGCCCAAGUGGCAAGGAAAGUGGCAGUUUCGAGUAGCUGAGAGCAGCCUCCACUCCACGGCAGCCAGCCAGAACAAGGACUUCAGUCCUAUGGAUGUAACAAGAAGAAACUUAGAAGUCAGCUUUUCCCCAGAGCCUCUAGGCAAGAACUCAGCCUUGUGAGACCCUGAGCAGAGAAUUCAGCCACGCUGUGCCAGACUUCUGACCUACAGGACUGUGAGAUACUAAAUGGAGGCAGUUUUAAGCUGCUAAAUUUAUGAUAAUAUGUUUCACAGCAACAGAAUAUCAAUACACUCCCCACAUCGCAUGGUGGCUGGCAAGGACCUCCACAAAAUGCCAACCUCUGAGGAUCCCCAUAAAGACACCUGAAUUAGAUUGUCUCUGCCAUCUUUCAUGGCUGCAAGUUUCUACAUUCCCCCCAACAUUUCAUGUCGUUCUGAGAAUAGCUUGAUGGAAACCAUAUUUGAAGCUGUGAGCUGUAGAAAGUCUCCACUUCUUGUUUGUUUUUUUUGUCUAGUGACUUGUGGGCCAUCAGAAAGAAGUGUGAAUUGCUAAGUAAUAAUUGUAUAACAUGGAACAGGGUAAUAAACAUUUUUCAGGGUUUGGUUGGUCCGAGAAUAUGGAAAAUGUAUUGGUAGUCAGUAGAACCAAGUUACAUGUCACCCUUGGGUAGGCAGCUGACUGGAUGAGGCAGUUUACCGCCUAACUAAAGCUCUAAUCUCAGAAUGUCAGAGUCUCCUUUGUUCUGGCCACCCCAAGAUGAAAUUACAGCCAAGCAUUAUGUUCAGAGAAUAGUCAGCCCACCUAGGCCACUUACACCAAGCCAAGAAUGAGAAGAAUUUGGCCAAGGAAGCUGGUGGAGUCCAUCUUUAUCCAUUGUGUUGUUCUCUUUGAGUGUCCUCUGAUGCAAAGGAGGAAAUUCAUGGUGACUUUAAAUGUCACCAGUGUUUCAAUGAAAACAGGAAUAUUGCCUAUGGAAACACUUCCUGACUCAGAAAAAUCGUUACGACCUCCAAGACCCUAAUUAUCCCAGGCGGGUCCCAACACUCCCUUGGUGGAACUACUUCACAGUAGGGAAAGAGAGCAUAAUAGUCAGAAACUUGGAUCUGAUUCUUAUCCCUGCCACUCACUAGCUGUAUGCCUUAGGUAAGUUGCACAAAUUCUUUGAGCCUCAGUUUCCUCAUCCACAGGGAUGACUAAGAAUGCCUUCCUAAAUAGGAAUAAUAGUGCUCACUUCAUAGAGAUCUAGUGAAAAUUGCCUAAGAUCACAUGCAUAAAAGAUCUCAUACAGUAUUCAAUAAAUGUCAAUCAUAGUAGUAGAAGUUAUAUUUUUAUCAUAUUUGUCCUUUAACAGUUUCCGUAUUGGAAACAGUUCUUCCAUUCUAGGGGAAAUUUAUCAUUCUGCCUCUGACCUGGUCUUCAUUCCUGAAGAAUUUAUGGAGUUCCUACUGAGAUAGCCAGGGUUCUCCUGGUAAUCAAAAUAUUAUAAAUGACCUAUAAGAAAUAACCCUUUUUCUCUAGGAGCUCAUAUUUUUAUAUUAAAAAGAUAUGCAGAUUAUAUAAGCAAAAUGGAAUAAGUUAAAGUAUCAACCACAAAUUGCUGCAACAAUCUUUGGUAUCAUUUAUCAUCAUCAUAAUUAUUAUUAUUACUAUGAGUAGCUGAAGAAUAACCACAGGAUUCAGUGUUUAAUAUGCAUUCUUAGGCCAGGUGCAGUGAAUCACGCCUGCAAUCCCAGCACUUUGGAAGGUCAAGGCCGGAGGAUCACUUGAAGCCCGGAGAUUGAGAUCAGCCUGGGCAACAAAGUGAGACCCUAUCUCUACAAAAUAUUAGCCAGGUGUGGUGGCAUGUGCUUGUAGUCCCUGCCUCUGGGGAGGCUGAGAUGGGAGAAUUGCCUGAGCCCGGGAGGUCAAGGCUGCAGUGAACUGUGAUCAAGCCACUGUUCUCCAGCCUAGGUGACAGAGAGAGACCCUGUCUCUUAAAAAAAUGCAUUCUUGGCCAGGUGCAGUGGCUCACACCUGUAAUCCCAG
rnacentral:lncRNA from 10 species